rnacentral:rRNA from 1 species
UACGAGGGGGGCAAGCGUUGUUCGGAAUUAUUGGGCGUAAAGAGCGUGUAGGCGGCCAGAUAGGUCAGCUGUGAAAACUCGAGGCUCAACCUCGAGACGUCGGUUGAAACCAUCUGGCUAGAGUCCGGAAGAGGAGAGUGGAAUUCCCGGUGUAGCGGUGAAAUGCGCAGAUAUCGGGAAGAACACCCGUGGCGAAGGCGGCUCUCUGGGACGGUACUGACGCUGAGACGCGAAAGCGUGGGGAGCGAACAGG